rnacentral:lncRNA from 1 species
CAAAAUUAUACAAACUAGAUUCAUAUAUAUGCUCAAUGUUAUGGCACAAUAUAUCACAAAAUAACAUGACUAAAUUGUUCACUAGUCAAUACUCAAGUAAAUUAACAUAAAUUUGAGUAAUACUUUCUUCAAAAGAUGACGUACUCGAACACAAGACAAACAGAUACACACUCAACUGAACUAGCAGGAUUGUUCAGGCUCUAUCGUCCAUGUCCAGGCUUGUAGGAUUGUUCUUAACAUAUAUUAAGCUGUAAAAGUUUAUUCCUAAGAAGUCAAUUGAGCUCUUGAUCAGAUUUGAUUCCUUUGCUGUGAAGGAAGGAAGCCUUGAUCCAACAUUCUUUUUCAUUAUAUAAGGAUAAUCACCAAAUGUAUGAUUGUUUAAGAUUAAAAAUAGCAACAUCUUUGCAUAAAGCAUAAAGUAGUAUAUGUUUGUUUAGAAUAAGGAUUACUUAUUUAACAUUCUUUUUCAUUGACCACACACUUUUUUAUGAAAAAAUCCCACAACUACUUUUUGGAGAGAAAAAAAUCUAUAUGUUUGGUUCAAUUGUCUGAAAUGAACAUGCUCUAACUCUAAAAAUAUAUAUGGUUUGAUCUUAAUGAGCAAUAGAAUGUCAAAAUACUACUACAAUGUGU